rnacentral:rRNA from 1 species
GAUGAACGCUGGCGGCGUGCUUAACACAUGCAAGUCGAACGGUGAACACGGAGCUUGCCCUGUGGGAUCAGUGGCGAACGGGUGAGUAACACGUGAGCAACCUGCCCCUGACUCUGGGAUAAGCGCUGGAAACGGCGUCUAAUACUGGAUAUGUGACGUGACCGCAUGGUCUGCGUUUGGAAAGAUUGUUCGUUUGGGGAUGGGUUCGCGGCCUAUCAGCUCGUUGGUGAGGUAAUGGCUUACCAAGGCGCCGACGGGUAGCCGACCUGCGAGGGUGACCGGCCACACUGGGACUGAGAGACGGAGCAGACUCCUACGGGAGGCAGCAGUGGGGAAUAUUGCACAAUGGGCGCAAGCCUGAUGCAGCAACGCCGCGUGAGGGAUGACGGCCUUCGGGUUGUAAACCUCUUUUAGCAGGGAAGAAGCGAAAGUGACGGUACCUGCAGAAAAAGCGCCGGCUAACUACGUG